rfam:Streptomyces sp. RV15 genomic scaffold PRJNA299236_s002, whole genome shotgun sequence.
GAGAGCCGGAUGCGUGGAGACACGCACGUCCGGUUCGGGUCGGCGGCUCGGGGAAACGGAACGACGGCAACGUCGUCACCGCGCCCCGAGCCGAC